rnacentral:rRNA from 1 species
UACGAAGGGUGCAAGCGUUACUCGGAAUUACUGGGCGUAAAGCGUGCGUAGGUGGUUUGUUAAGUCUGCUGUGAAAGCCCCGGGCUCAACCUGGGAAUGGCAGUGGAUACUGGCAAGCUAGAGUGCGGUAGAGGGUAGUGGAAUUCCCGGUGUAGCGGUGAAAUGCGUAGAGAUCGGGAGGAACACCAGUGGCGAAGGCGGCUGCCUGGACCAGCACUGACACUGAGGCACGAAAGCGUGGGGAGCAAACAGG